rnacentral:rRNA from 1 species
UGCCAGACUCCUACGGGAGGCAGCAGUGGGGAAUAUUGGGCAAUGGAGGAAACUCUUACCCAGCAAUGCCGCGUGAAUGAAGAAGGUCUUCGGAUUGUAAAGUUCUUUAAUUGGGGACGAAAAAAAUGACGGUACCCAAGGAAUAAGCCCCGGCUAACUACGUGCCAGCAGCCGCGGUAAUACGUAGGGGGCAAGCGUUAUCCGGAUUUACUGGGUGUAAAGGGAGCGUAGACGGCGAUGCAAGCCAGAUGUGAAAGCCCGGGGCUCAACCCCGGGACUGCAUUUGGAACUGUGUGGCUGGAGUGUCGGAGAGGCAGGCGGAAUUCCUAGUGUAGCGGUGAAAUGCGUAGAUAUUAGGAGGAACACCAGUGGCGAAGGCGGCCUGCUGGACGAUGACUGACGUUGAGGCUCGAAAGCGUGGGGAGCAAACAGGAUUAGAUACCCUUGUA